rnacentral:rRNA from 1 species
GAUAACCGCUGAAAGCAUCUAAGCGGGAAGCUCGCUUCAAGAUGAGGUCUCUCACCGACUCGAUCGGGUAAGGCCCCCGCCCAGACCAGCGGGUUGAUAGGCCGGAAGUGGAAGCACCGCAAGGUGUGCAGCUGACCGGUACUAACAGGCCGAGGACUUACCAAC